CGAAGGUGGAUUGAGAAGUCUGCUGGAGGUAUCGGAAGUGCGAAGGCUGACAUGAGUAACGAUAAUGCGGGUGAAAAGCCCGCACGCCGAAAGCCCAAGGUUUCCUUGCGCAACGUUAAUCGACGCAGGGUGAGUCGGCCCCUAAGGCGAGGCAGAAAUGCGUAGUCGAUGGAAAGCUGGUUAAUAUUCCAGCACCUCGCGUAAGUGCGAUGGGAGGACGGAGAAGGUUAGGUGAGCCGGGCGUUGGUUGUCCCGGUGAGAGGACUGAGGUGGUGCCCUUAGGCAAAUCCGGGGGUGCAACAUUGAGGUCAAGGACGAGUCCAUUAGGAUUAAGUCACCGAUAUCACGCUUCCAGGAAAAGUCCCUAAGCUUCAGCUUACGCAGACCGUACCGUAAACCGACACAGGUGGGCAGGAUGAGAAUUCUCAGGCGCUUGAGAGAACUCGGGUGAAGGAACUAGGCAAAAUAGCACCGUAACUUCGGGAGAAGGUGCGCCAACCAUGGUUAAUAGCUGAGGUUGGCCGAAGUGACCAGGCCGCUGCGACUGUUUAUCAAAAACACAGCACUCUGCAAACACGAAAGUGGACGUAUAGGGUGUGACGCCUGCCCGGUGCCGGAAGGUUAAUUGAUGGGGUCAGCCGCAAGGCGAAGCUCUUGAUCGAAGCCCCGGUAAACGGCGGCCGUAACUAUAACGGUCCUAAGGUAGCGAAAUUCCUUGUCGGGUAAGUUCCGACCUGCACGAAUGGCGUAACGACAGCGGCGCUGUCUCCACCCGAGACUCAGUAAAAUUGAAAUCGCUGUGAAGAUGCAGCGUUCCCGCGGCAAGACGGAAAGACCCCGUGAACCUUUACUAUAGCUUUACACUGAACGUUGAGUUCGUCUGUGUAGGAUAGGUGGGAGGCUGUGAAACCAGGACGCUAGUUCUGGUGGAGCCAACCUUGAAAUACCACCCUGAUGUGCUUGACGUUCUAACCUGGGCCCGUAAUCCGGGUCGGGGACCGUGUAUGGUGGGUAGUUUGACUGGGGCGGUCUCCUCCCAAAGUGUAACGGAGGAGCUCGAAGGUACGCUCAGCGCGGUCGGACAUCGCGCACUGUGUGCAAAGGCAUAAGCGUGCUUGACUGCAAGAUCGACGGAUCAAGCAGGUAGGAAACUAGGACUUAGUGAUCCGGUGGUUCUGUAUGGAAGGGCCAUCGCUCAACGGAUAAAAGGUACUCCGGGAUAACAGGCUGAUACCGCCCAAGAGUUCAUAUCGACGGCGGUGUUUGGCACCUCGAUGUCGGCUCAUCACAUCCUGGGGCUGUAGUCGGUCCCAAGGGUAUGGCUGUUCGCCAUUUAAAGUGGUACGCGAGCUGGGUUCAGAACGUCGUGAGACAGUUCGGUCCCUAUCUGUCGUGGGCGUUGGAGAUUUGAGAGGGGCUGCUCCUAGUACGAGAGGACCGGAGUGGACGAACCCCUGGUGUUCCGGUUGUCACGCCAGUGGCAUUGCCGGGUAGCUAUGUUCGGAAGCGAUAACCGCUGAAAGCAUCUAAGCGGGAAGCGCGCCUCAAGAUGAGAUCUCCCGGGACACAAGUCCCCUAAAGGAACCAUCAAGACCAGGUGGUUGAUAGGCAGGGUGUGUAAGCGCAGUAAUGUGUUGAGCUUACCUGUACUAAUGAUCCGUGUGGCUUGACC
rnacentral:rRNA from 1 species